CUACGAGCCCUGUUGAGGCACAGCCUUACUACCAAUAAAUUGUGCAUAUGCUAUAGCUACAGUUGAUCAACUCAUGAAUGGACACUUGACCCAAGGCUGGCCAUCAUACUUUCAUACUUUCAAUAAAGCAUGAAAUUGUUACUGAAGAGAGACCAGAUUUGAAUAGCUUUGCUGGAACAAUAACCUCCAAGGCUAUUUUGAGCAUUACUCUUAAAAAUGUGAAUGGGUAAAUAUGGGUACUAUUGCAGAUUUAACAGGAAGAUUAAACUGCAAAAGUCUUGAGGUAGAAAAUGGCAUGAGGAACACCCAAUAGCUAAAAAAUUAACAGAUUUGAAGAAGCAGAAGCAAAUAUACAAAGGAAAUACACAGCAAAGGGUGGCCACUUUAGUAGUCAGAAAAUAAGUGUACUAAGAGAGAUAAGCUCUAUAUGAGAGGGAGCAAUGUUAUGUUAAUGUUAGAGAUUACUGUGGAAAAAUCACAAAUUUCUGGACUGUAGCCCCUGCCCACUCCUUAAUCUCCAGUCCUUGGUUUUCCUUCACUCCACUUAAUCGUCAUUAAAAUGUGAUGCAUUUUACCAAUAUGUAUGCUGUUUGUCUUCUGGCACCUCCAUAUAAAUCCCAUGAGGGCAAUUUUGUUGUUUGUUUUUACAAAAUCCAGAGUAAUGUCUCAAAUAUAGCAAAUUCUCAAUAAAUAUGAUAAGACUAUGAAGCAGAUGAAUGAAUACCAUUCUGAUAUUAAUGGCCCUAAACCUACCUUUGUUUGCAUUUAUUUGUUUAUUUUUACAGAGUCUAUUUUUAAGAAGGACCUUAAAUUACAUAAAUAAUUUUAUAUGGCUUCUUCAUUACACACACAUCAUACAUAGCAGUAUCUGGAUUAUUUCCACUUCCCAGAGGAAACCAUUUCAAAUGUUUUCUUUUUCUUUCUUUCCUUUUUUUUUUAAUCAGAUUGGUCUGUUGUUUAUACUCACCUACUUAAAUAUACUGAAAAACAGUUUCAUAUUCUUCCUUUAUUUGUUUGGCAGUUCUAGGUAUUAUUUAUUGACUUCCAAUCACGGAUACUCUUUUUACCAGAACAUAUUUAUUUACUUAUCUGCUUUCUAUGGAGUAAAUAUAUAUUUCAAUUCUAUUGAACUUUUAGUAAAUUUCUAAAUUUUGUUCCCAAGAGUUGUUUCUGUUUUCCCAAUAUUUCUUUAAAAACCACAUUGUUAAAAACAUGGAGAAAUAGUCAGUUUACAAAUAAAAAUUAAAUAAGUGCAAAUGGUGGUUUUCAAGAUGUAUUCUGGUUGGAAUGGAUGCAGAGAUCUGGAGCUGUCAUUGCUCAGUAUUCCCCUUACUUCCAUCAGUGCCUCAUGAAGCAUUUGAUGUCCCUAGGUAACAUUACUUGGGUUGGGAAAUGAAGAUUCUGAAUAAAUAAUGAUAUAAACCUACCCAAAUAAUUUUUUGUAGAAUAUUUAAAGAAAAAAAUCUUUCUUGUGAAAUACACAUACUCUUCUUUUGGACAGUUAAAACAGUAUCAAAACAAUUCAGAUUUAAUAAUUUGAGAUAUCUUUUGAAAACAUACAAUUAAAAGAAAUGUUUGACAAUCAUACUGUAAUUAAAAUUAAUUUUGUAAGAAUGAUAGUAAAAUUGUAAUAACAUUACAAAGCUUUUAGAUUUGUCACCAAACAGGAUGUCAGGCUUCUGUGAUUUUUAAUAAUAUCUCAAUCCAUAUACAACACUUUUCAUACUCAGGACUUUUUAAUAUUAUCUCUAAAUUAUAAAAUUCUAGACUUUAAGUCCUGAUCUUCUAUGGUAGAAAAACUGUGAAGAAAGAUUUAAAUUUAUAUGUGUGGAGAUGAUAACAGAGCAGUCCAUGUAAGAGGAAAGAAGUCAGUUCUAAGCCCUAUAAACUCACCCGACUUAACCAAACUUAUUAUCUUUCAUUCAUAAUUUGAGAAAGACAGUGUGUAUAUGAUAUGUGUUUUACACAUCAUUUUCUUAUAUGUGAAACUAUUAAUUGGUAUAUAUAAAUAAUGAUGCAAUGAGAUAGUAAUAGGUAUUCCAAUGAACAAUUCUAUAUUAUUUAAGGUAUUCUAAGUAUAUGUAUUCAGGAACCCUAUACUAAGUCCUAAAAUAUGACAUUGAAAAUAAAGGAUAUUUAUAAGGGUUUGCAAGCUAGCAUCCUUCUUUAUGAACCCAUAUGAUUAUGAAACACAAAUAAGGUCUCCUUGGUCCUUUGUCUCAGAAAAAGGACCUGGGCCAUACUUGCAUUAGCAAAAGUUUUGCAGAGGUUUAGCAACAGAAGAGACCACAUUUUGGGUAGGAUACAGCAUCCCCUGAUAUUCUUUUUAUCAGUGUCCAUCCUCCUUCGAAGACAAUUGAUGUUUUAAGUUAUAUUUCUUAUUUCCUCCUUAUAAUGUUCUGGUUUAGUUAUUUUAGAAAGUAGGGAGUUACUAAAGCAAUGUUACAUAACUAAUGGAGAAAGCAGUCAAAUACGAAUUUUAUUUUUCUAAAUAUAGUCCAACUAAGAACAUUUGGAAUAUAUUACCUUUAAAAAGUUUUUGGAUUUUUAGUUCCCUUUGGGGCACAGCAGAAACAAAUCCGACUAGGAACAAUGAGGUUGUGGGUUUGAUCCCUGGCUUCACUAAGUGGGUUAAGGAUCUGGCAUUGCCAUGAGCUGUGGUGUGGGUUGCAUAUGUGGCUCAAAUCUGGCAUUGCUGUGGCGGUGGUGUAGGCCAGCAGCUGUAGCUUCGAUUGGACCCCUAGCCUGCGAACCUCCAUAAACCAAGGAUGUGGGCCUAAAAAGGAAAAAAAUAAUAAAAAAAAGUUUUGUAUUUUUACUUAAUCUAUUAGUCUAGAUUUAUUUAAAUUAUAACAUUUACUAUCUGAAUAGAAUUGUGAAGCUAAUUCAGUGGCUAUAAUGUUAAGCAGGACAGACAAUGAGUGUGUAUCACUCUGAAAAAGAUUUUAGAGAUUCGAGUAUGUUUUAAACAAACUCAACAAAUAUUAUAUCGAAUAUUUUAAAUAAAAAUUGGAAAAUAUUCUGUGAAAGUUUUAUCAUUGCCUUGAAACAUAUUUUUUCAUUCCAAAUUGUAAGUACUUACUCACAGUUAUUGAACUGAAAACAAUAAAAACUGUUGCUUAUCUUGUUUUCAAUCAAGUUACUUGAAUUUAAACAGUAGCUCUUUUUUGGUUGUCUUUCUAUUUGAGCAUAUUGAGGCCUGGAUUAGCUUUAAGAAGAGAGAAAGCAUUACUGCCAUUAGCAUCUCAUUAAGAUACUCCUGCCAAGAAAACUCAGUGCAGUGAUAAUGGAGGUAAAAUACUCUUGAUUACCAUUAGAAUAAAUUAUAAAAUGGCUUUAGAGAUUUCUCUAUAAGGGUACACUUAAUUUUUUAAGGCUUACUGAAAAAAAGAAAAUUUAGAAAUUUCAACAUGUUAUAAAAGUCAUGCAUAAAGGCUUUUGUGUAAUUUGACCUUCAUAUGAAGAAAACAAUUCAUGUAAAAAUAUAUCUGCUAACUUUUUCUUAGUUUUGAAUAAAAAUCUCACUAUACUACCACAUUGAUAUAAUAGAACAAGAAAAAGAAAUCCCUUUUAUGUAACUCUCUUUGUAAUAUUCUCAAAUAGUGAAUGAAAAUACUUAUACUGGUUCAUAUCUACCACUGAAAAUGAAAGGACAAAAAAUUGUAUACAAAAUUGUAUACAAAUAUGUAGAAAUCUGUAGGACUUGAAUGUACAGAGAAAUCAUUUCAGUCAGGAAAGAGAAACCUGACCACAAGAAGAAAGGUUAAAAUCCAAGCUAUGUCAGAUGCCUAUAGGCAUCGCUAGGAGGUGUUUACAGUGAAGCCACCACUGGGAGACAUAUCAUAUGCACAAGUGUUGUUAGUGAUGGGAACAGUGCAGCUCACGCCUUUUCCUGGGAUAAAGGAGGAAACUGUCACUCAAGUGCAGAUAGUCACUCACUUAUGAAUAUGAAUAUCUAAGUACUCAAAAUCUCCAAUUUUACAAGACCACCUAGAAAUCUCAAUUAAGCAUAAUGCCCAAAUUAUUAAAUGUUAUUUCAAAAAACAAAUGAGAACCAAACAAAUAAAAGAAAAGGGCCUACUGGGAAACCAAUUAAAAACCUCUGCACAAGAAUGUCUUUUAAAAGAGAAUAAGAGGUGCAUCUGCCAGGUGGUAUUCUAAGGCAGGGUAGAUACAAUAGCGAACAAAAUAAACAAAAAUCCCUGAUCUGUGGGGUUAAGAGUCUAAUGAUGAAAUAAAAAUAAUGAUAAAUAAGAAAUAAGAUGCAUAAAUAUCAAAUAUAUUAAAUGGUGACACAUGUAAAGAUAAAGGUAAAAUAGGGAGGGGGAUAAGAAGGACCAGGGGUGUAUGAGAUUGUGAUCUUAUAAAGAGUAGUCCAGAAAGAGUGACAGGAAUAAAGUUCUGAAGAAAUGUGAGGGAGUGAACAAUGAACUCCAAGAAGGUGGGGGAGAGAAGAUGUAUGAUAACAAUUCAAAGUAGUAAUGGGAAUGGUUAAAUGGACAGACAUCCAGGGGGGUGAUGGAACUAAAGCAAGGGCAUAAGAGUCAGAAACUAGAGAGGACUUGGGCUUUUUUUUUUUUUUUCUUUUAAUAAGAUGUGAAAUCUAUUGGAGUGUGGUAAGCAGAGGGAUGACAUGCUUGGAUGAGUUUAAAAGAAUUUUUCAGGCUACUGGCCUCAGAUUAGAUUGAAGAGGAGAAAGGACCAGUUUUGGGGGGAUCAGUUAGGAAGCUACAGUAACUAUUUAGGUAAGACAUGUCAGUGCUUUUGCUUACAAAGGUACCAGUGCAAGUGGUGAGGAGUGAAUGAAAGGAGCGACGAAGGAAAGGAUUUGUUGCCAGACUGAAUAUUUAAAAUAUUAAUUCACAUAUAUAAAACACUGAAGUAUAUUUUCUAUUGUGUGAUACACUGAUUUAGCAAAACAUUACAACUUGAAAUCUGGGGUUGCCUUACUGAUUAACGCUGUCAGCUAGUUUCAUUCUUUAAUUUACCUAAUAAAUAAUUCCUGAAUAUUUAGUAUAUUUCAGAUAUUUUAGUUGCAGAAAACUCCAUAACCUAAAUAAAGUAAAUUUACAAAGAAAGUGUUCACAUGUUUUUAUUCUACUGGAAGAGAAAAUAAUGGAAAAUUCAGUGGACUUACAACUGAGUUGGAGACUGGCAAAUAUAACCACAAACUUAGAAAGAUUGGUAGAAUCCUCAUAAAUUUACUUAAAAAUUACAGAGAAAGUAUGAUGUGUUGAUGGGUGUAAAUCAUUUUCAGCUUCACUUAUUCCUCUUAAAAUGAGCUAUACCAAAAGAGUAGAAAAUGGAUUAUAACUUAAAGAUGUCCCAAGUCUGACUUAAAAGAAAGC
rnacentral:lncRNA from 1 species